rnacentral:tRNA from 1 species
GCCUGGGUAGCUCAGUGGUUGAGCAUUGGCCUUUGGCUCAGGGCAUGAUCCCGGGGUCCUGGGUUCGAGUCCCACUUCAGGCU